GAAGAUGGACAAGGAACAUAUGCCAGUGCACAUCUAUUAUAAGCCAUUUAUCCCAGACUGUGAUGCGGGUGUGCUUAAGUCUGAAAUGCAAGUGACUCGUCCUUACAGGCAAAAUACAUUCCAGCUGAGGAAAAAAGGAUUUUUGUCGCUGAUUUAAUGGAGUGACAGCCUUUCAGAAGUCUUUAAAUUCACCAUUUUCACUGAUGUCACCCUGUUACCAGAAAGGAGUCCUAAUUCUGACCCCAAGAGAAGGUCCUUAAAUCUCGUGCAAGAAAGAUUUCAGGGUCUCAAUGCGAAAGCUGUCUCCAAAUUGCUGUUUUCUGAAAGCCGCCAGUUAAAGGGCUACAUCUUGCCAAGGUAGACUAAUAGAAGUCAAAUUAAGCUGAACUGAAAUUAUACCUCGUGCACAUCUGGCAACACGUCCUUUUGUACAUAAGAAAGGCAUGAAUAAGAUUAUGUCUUGAAUAAAUUAUCCACUGAUUAUGACAUUU